AGUUUGAUCCUGGCUCAGGAUGAACGCUGGCGGCGUGCCUAACACAUGCAAGUCGAACGAAGCACUUUUACCGGAGAUUCGUCGAAGGUGAAUUUGACUUAGUGGCGGACGGGUGAGUAAUGUAUGAGCAACCUGCCUUUCAGAGGGGGACAACAGUUGGAAACGACUGCUAAUACCGCAUAACGUAUCGACGGGGCAUCCCGAUGAUACCAAAGGAGCAAUCCGCUGAAAGAUGGGCUCAUAUCUGAUUAGUUAGUUGGCGGGGCAACGGCCCACCAAGACUUCGAUCAGUAGCCGGACUGAGAGGUUGAACGGCCACAUUGGGACUGAGAUACGGCCCAGACUCCUACGGGAGGCAGCAGUGGGGAAUAUUGGGCAAUGGGCGAAAGCCUGACCCAGCAACGCCGCGUGAAGGAAGAAGGUCUUCGGAUUGUAAACUUCUUUUAUGAGGGACGAAGGACGUGACGGUACCUCAUGAAUAAGCCACGGCUAACUACGUGCC
rnacentral:rRNA from 1 species